rnacentral:rRNA from 1 species
GAUGAACGCUGGCGGCGUGCCUAAUACAUGCAAGUCGAGCGAACGGACGAGAAGCUUGCUUCUCUGAUGUUAGCGGCGGACGGGUGAGUAACACGUGGAUAACCUACCUAUAAGACUGGGAUAACUUCGGGAAACCGUAGCUAAUACCGGAUAAUAUUUUGAACCGCAUGGUUCAAAAGUGAAAGACGGUCUUGCUGUCACUUAUAGAUGGAUCCGCGCUGCAUUAGCUAGUUGGUAAGGUAACGGCUUACCAAGGCAACGAUGCAUAGCCGACCUGAGAGGGUGAUCGGCCACCCUGGAACUGAGACACGGUCCAGACUCCUAAGGGAGGCAGCAGUAGGGAAUCUUCCGCAAUGGGCGAAAGCCUGACGGGGCAACGCCGCGUGAGUGAUGAAGGUCUUCGGAUCGUAAAACUCUGUUAAUAGGGAAGAACAUAUGUGUAAGUAAUUAUGCACAUCUUGACGGUACCUAAUCAGAAAGCCACGGCUAACUACGUG